GACACACAACUGGCUGCACACAAAUCCUGCAGAGGUCUGUGGAUGACCUCUCCAUACGCUGAUUAACAGCAUUCCAGCCACACCUUACGUUGACGGGAUUAUCUCUUUUUAUUAAGUAAUUAUGCAGCAGAUUUCCCGCACAUGUUGUGGGCUAAAUAAAGCAUUACACAAACGCCGGAGCUCGGAGGCUCCUUUUUUCCCAGCAACCUGAUGGACAGAUGUGAGCUCUCUGCAGCGCAGUGGCGUAAUUAAAAACUAAACCGCGGGAUGCUUCGCCAUCUGACACCGGCCCCAGUGGCUCGCCACCGCAGCCUGCGCGCCACGGGGAAUCAGACCAAUCAGAAGCACUCGGGGCACCGUCCACAUAUGGCUGUCUCUACGAACGUCCGACUGGGAUUGGAAAUCUGCUCGCGCCCAGAACCUGAGCUCAAACGGUGGCGUGUCAAGCUGUUUCAGGAGGUUUGUUGUGACGGAUCAGUGGCAGGUAGCAUAUUUGAAAGUUUAAAAGCGAUUUAGGCUUUUAGCAUGGCUUUCUGAACUUAAGGAAAUCAAGUUCUGCACUGCAGUGGUGGCAGGAAUAACAGCUUAUUGUUGAAAUGUUUUCAAAAUCAUGCACAUAACUUUCCUAUAUAAAACUUAUUUUUCCAGGUUUUCAUAUUCACGACAGUUUUAAAUGAGUCACUUAAGUUUCAAAUGUUAAUUUAAAAUGUUAACUACUUUUAAAAAGCUUUGGCAGUCACGAGGACACCGGUGUGUUCAUGGAGCCACUGACUAACAUGUGAGCGUUUUGAGGGUGAAAGUUAAGCGGUUAAAGCAAAAUUUGAAACUAAUUUGACUUUCGUCACUCAUCUCUUGACUCAUGUUUGCCACUCUGCAUUGUUGACUGCAGAAUAAGACCAUACAACAACACAUGCGUGACCCAAUUAAUCCUCCACAGGAGAGAAGCUUUUACAGGUAAUGAGUAAUGUUAACACGUUAAACGAUUUAGACUAAUCGCUUUUUGUGCAAAAAACACAAAAUCUUACCAAGCAUGUUUGAUUUAGUUCAAAUAUGUUAGUACAUAUGUUAGUACAAGUUUUUUCUUACUUGAAAUAAGAAAAAACUAACUUUCAAGUAACUUUUCAGCAAGAUAAGAGUUUAUUUUAAGUAGUAGUUGUAAGUGAAAUCAUCUGCCAGUGAAAUUUGUAUUUUUUUCCACUUUUAACAAUUUCAUUUUUCUUGCUGAAAUGUUACUUGUAAAUUCUUUUUGUCUUAUUUCAAGCCUACUAAGAUAUUUGCAGUACAAAACAAAACAGAAAUUCUUGGUAAGAUGUUGUGUUAUUGCAGAGCAACUAGUUAUCAUUGACAGCCCUAAUAAAAUAACAAAGUAAUUAGAAGUCACCAACAUAUUAGGCACCAAAUGAGUUGAAAAUGUUUCCAAAAGUGUGUCCAAUUUUGCAUUGAUUCAUUUGUAAUUCAGAUAAAUUCCCUUGCCUUUGAAAACUCCAUCUCCAACCCUUUGAUUUAAACAAAAGGCAACGCCAGGCAGGGCUUAAUUUCCAAACAAAUGAUAAACAAAGAAACUACCGCUCCACAGCUUGUCUGACCUCUCGUCUGGCAGAGGGCCAUGCGGGUAGAGGCAGAGGAAGAGAGGGAUUGUGGGAGGGAAGUUUGUGUGUGCGCGCGUGGCCUCAUCGCCUCAUCUCGACUGCCGAAGCCUGGCAGACUGGGGGUUUAAAUAUUAACAAGCCACACAUGGCCCUCCUCUUCUGCCGGGUCCCUCGAUGGAAGGCAACAGCAGCUCCCUCCACCAAGACAAACACGUCCGCGGCCAGACAUGCUGCAGGGGGUUUACAUUUUAAUGCCUUUGUUGGUUUUCCAAAAUAUGCUUCCAUCUCAUCCUGGAUGGGAUCCCUUCAGGUCCACAAAGCCAGGUGACGUCUAUCAUUUCAGGGGUGAGUGAGAACCUGAUGUCUAAGCAGCCGCCGUUAACCGAUCUACAGGAUGUGGUUUCUUCACUUCCACCCGAGGUCUGCUGGGAGGAAGUAUCAUGCUCUGUACUGCACGAGGCAAAAGGGAGCCACAGAGGUUAACCAAAGAGAUGAGAAGACUCACCACAGUGCAGCAGAGAGGCCAGAACCACCACAAGAAGGCCAGAGCCGCGAGCGCCAGCAUCACCAGAAUCACG